rnacentral:lncRNA from 1 species
AUAUCCGUGAAGUGAUAAACACAAUUAAAGCCCAGCCCAAAUCUUCCAAUGGCAAAUGGUUUCUCUAGUUUGGUCUCUUGACCUAUACGAGAGAUUGCAUACAAAUCCUGGGGAGUAAAAACAGAGUCGUUGAAACAGUACAAAGCAGGUCCCUGCCAAUCCGCCAUUUCAGGAGAGAGAACAGAUGAAGUCCCAUAUUGAGUUUUAUCCAAUAAAAAAAACACCUUAGAAGCAUUAGCAUCCUCUGCAUUUUGUACCAGCUCAAACAGAGUCCCAGGUCCAUCUGCAUACAUUUCAAGUAUAUGUUUAAGCCUGGUUGUUAAUGCCUCAUGCUGCCCAAAU